UUAUUAUGAGAGUUUGAUCCUGGCUCAGGACGAACGCUGGCGGCGUGCCUAAUACAUGCAAGUCGAACGCUUCUUUCCUCCCGAGUGCUUGCACUCAUUUGGAAAGAGGAGUGGCGGACGGGUGAGUAACACGUGGGUAACCUACCCAUCAGAGGGGGAUAACACUUGGAAACAGGUGCUAAUACCGCAUAACAGUUUAUGCCGCAUGGCAUAAGAGUGAAAGGCGCUUUCGGGUGUCACUGAUGGAUGGACCCGCGG
rnacentral:rRNA from 1 species